UCGGGAAUUUUGGGCAAUGGGGGAAACCCUGACCCAGCAACGCCGCGUGAAGGAUGAAGUAUUUCGGUAUGUAAACUUCGAAAGAAUAGGAAGAAUAAAUGACGGUACUAUUUAUAAGGUCCGGCUAACUACGUGCCAGCAGCCGCGGUAAUACGUAGGGACCAAGCGUUGUUCGGAUUUACUGGGCGUAAAGGGCGCGUAGGCGGCAAUUCAAGUCAUCUGUGAAAUCCCCGGGCUUAACUCGGAACGGUCAGAUGAUACUGCUUUGCUAGAGUGCAGAAGGGGCAAUCGGAAUUCUUGGUGUAGCGGUGAAAUGCGUAGAUAUCAAGAGGAACACCUGAGGUGAAGACGGGUUGCUGGGCUGACACUGACGCUGAGGCGCGAAAGCCAGGGGAGCAAACGGGGAUUAGAUACCCAGGUAGUCCCUGAGCGGGCUGGCAAGGCGCAU
rnacentral:rRNA from 1 species